rnacentral:lncRNA from 1 species
GUAAACAAAAGUCUAGGUUAGUUCGAUUUUACUAGUCGAGCACGAAUUUUCAACAUCAACCACAAGCGAAGAUUGACAUUGGCAAACAGUUGCGAGAAGUUGACAAUUUAAACAGAAAGAAAAAAAAAUGUCGAGCGAUUUUAUUGGUAAUUUACAAUCUUGUAUACAAUAAUAAUACAUAUAUAAGAUAAUCACUAACCAUCCUAUUCUUGAGCUAAAACACUAGCCACAAAGUUAUAAUCACAUGAACUACAUAAUCAAAUCUAAUUCAUACCAAUCAUUCACAAUCUUGGAGAGAAUUAUGAACCCACCCAUAUAAGAUUUUGAAUAUAAUUUCCUUGUAUAAAGGAAAUCAAAUCCGCAUAUAAAAGAGCUUCAUUAAUUUGUAAUUUUCGGCAAAACUUAUGUGCGUUGAUGGAUGAAGACAGAGCCAGCUCAAGCAUUACACAGGCUCCAUAAUUUGCAUGAGCCGCUAGAUCAGUUGUGUAAAGGGUUUGGCCCUCCCGGAGUGGUACGAUGUGAUACUGUAUAAACUGUGUCACCAUCUGCACUUUUAGGAGCUGAAAAAUUCCAUGAAAAUUGGUAGUUGAACUUGGUGGUGGAUGAUUUUUGCUCGGUGGAUUUCCGGGCAAAUAUUUGGAUGUUGCGGCCAUCGGAGAGGUGGCUGGCGGCGAGAACCGCCAUGAUCAGAAGAAAUGGGGCAGCGGCGGGAUAAUUAAUCCGCAUGGAUCAAGAACUGCAGGAUUAGCAGUUGAGGAUGGUUGACUUGAGACUUGAGAUCGAUGAGUUGUUGUUUCAGCAGUUGGGGUCUCGUGGGAGGGGUGUAUUUAUUAUGGCAUGAAGCAGUUAAUGGUGCAGAUAAG